rnacentral:rRNA from 1 species
GAUGAACGCUAGCGGAAGGCUUAAUACAUGCAAGUCGAGGGGCAGCAUUAUCGACAUUAGUUGAUAGAUGGCGACCGGCGCACGGGUGAGUAACGCGUACACUACCUACCUUUCACUACGGGAUAGUAUUGGGAAACUGAUAGUAAUACCGUAUGGUCCACUUCGGUGGUAAAGAGUUAUCGGUGGAAGAUGGGUGUGCGUUAGAUUAGCUAGUUGGUAAGGUAACGGCUUACCAAGGCGACGAUCUAUAGGGGGCGUGAGAGCGUGAUCCCCCACACGGGUACUGAGACACGGACCCG